GCCAUCGUAGUGUAACGGUAGCACACUCGACGCGUAUUCGAGAGGUCCAGGUUCAAGUCCUGGCGACGUCA
rnacentral:tRNA from 1 species